rnacentral:lncRNA from 1 species
ACCAGUGUGAGGUGAGACAUGUAUCUGCACACUCUCUUGCUACAUCUAUGUAUCAGCAUUUCACUAACUGUAAGGCAAACUAUUGUCUUGUCCUUUUGUAUGUUUGUAUUGAUAUUAGAGACUCAUGUUUCGAACUUUUCUUAUGGCUUGCAUAUAUUUAAGAAACUUCCAGCUGGUUAGUUGACUGCACUUGACAAAAUAGAGAAGUGACAACGAAAACAUACGUUAUCAAGUAGCAUGGCACUGCAAUAUGAGACACCAACACAUACGUUCUCGCAGGUUUGUGAAAUUCAUCCAGAAAGAGAUGUAUUGGUAAAAUUCAAAGACCAAAGAUGGUAUCAAAUGCAUAGAGGCCUGGAAUGAAAGAAAGAUGAUACCCCCCGUUCCUAAAUACUUGUCGCUGUUUUAGUGCAAGAGGGAGUAUGUUCUUACAUUAAAUCACUGGUUAAAUAUUUGGAUCAAAUUUCCCCUUGUCACAACUUAUAUAAUCUUUUAGUUAAUUUGUUGAGGGAUUCGAGGGCAUUCUUUGGUCCAGUUUGUGCAAAUAAUUUCACAUGAGUUCUCUAUUUUCUUGCAGGAUUUUGAUGAGAUGAACAAGCAUAAGCUGAUCCAUCCAUCCCUUUGUAAUUUCUUCAGAUAGGAGCAACCAGCACCAAACCUACUUUGCCUUGUUCCAUCAGUGGCUGUUGUCAAAAAAUUCAGAGAGCUUGGAGGUGUUCACUAUUAUAUACUAAAAGUACACGAAGGAGCAACCACAAAAAAAUAGAGGGGCUAGAAAAUCUAAAAAAAAACAAAACAUCUGCCCGUUAAUUUGAUACGUACCUUAUAAAAUCACAGCCCUUAAAUUGAUGCUGAAAGAAUUACCCACCAAUGCCACUCGGAAUUAAUUUUCCUUCUAUCCCCUCACGCACAGGUCAUACCUUAGCCCCGAUCGAGGUCCCACGAUUAAUUCCGGCGGUUGCCCCGUCGGAUCCCGCGCCACC